rnacentral:rRNA from 1 species
UACCAGCACCCCGGGUGGUCGGGACGUUUAUUGGGCCUAAAGCAUCCGUAGCCGGUUCUACGAGUCUUCCGUUAAAUCCAACUGCUUAACAGGUGGGCUGCGGAAGAUACUAUAGAGCUAGGAGGCGGGAGAGGCAAGCGGUACUCGAUGGGUAGGGGUAAAAUCCGUUGAUCCAUUGAAGACCACCAGUGGCGAAGGCGGCUUGCCAGAACGCGCUCGACGGUGAGGGAUGAAAGCUGGGGGAGCAAACCGG